CCCCCAAGUGUGGAGAAUUAGGAUGGGGCAGGACCAAGAUGGGGGCAACAGCAGCUACUUUCAUCCCUAGGAGAUCUGGGAUCCCUCACUAUCUGCGUAAGAGUAGUGGAGAAAAUAAUGUUCGUGGUAAUCUUUGUUUCCCCUGUUUGGUGAUUUUUAACUGAAAUACGUGGUUUACAGUUGUCUGCAGUUUUCUACAAGAGUGCAUGCUUAUGUAUAAGCCCACUUUACCUGUCUCACCAAAACUGGGCUUUGGGAAAACUAUUUUGGAAGGUAAAGCUUGGACAGCUUACUAGUUUCCCCAAAUGUAGAUUCUGAGUUUGAGCCUGCUAGAGGGAAAGCUGAGUCUAAAGUGCAAAUGACAGCACAUUUGGCUUAUUACACAGAUGGGAGUAGCCAGCACUAUUCUUGGUUAGAAAAGAGAAAAUUUGGGGUCUCUGCAGUUUGACUUAGUAUGCUACCACAUGGGGCAGAAAUGACUUACUCUACUUGAGGGCAGUGGGGACUAAGAAAGUGCAGGACCCAAGAGCCACAUUACUCGGAAGCAGUGAUUUACCCAGUCUCAUGAAUUGGAUCAGACAGCACCCCCUGCAGAUAAUGGGCCCCAGGUGAGCAGUGAUCUACCUCCCCAGCACUAGGGGAUUGGAUAUGAGACCUGGGGGGGUGGGGGGAGGGCAGAGCUUCUUGGCUAGUCACUCUGUCCUUGACCAGCCUUGAGCAGCCUGUGCCUCACAAAUAAUUUGUUUGCAGUGUCUUGGAAAAGGUUGGAAUAAGCCACUUUUCCUUGCCAGUUACCAUGAAAUGAAUAAUUACCUUGUAAAGAUGAUAAUUUCCCUAUAUAUUUUAUUCUGUCCUUAUUUUCUUUUCUGCUUACCAGAGCAAUCCAUACUUUUUGAAAAAUGUCACUUCAAAAUUUUAACAAGUGGCUUCCAGUUGUCUGUGUUAAGAGAUUCUUUAGACAUGUCAUCAUGUGUCAAGGAGUUCUGUCACUCCCAUCUCUUACUCCAUUUCCCAAAUGACCAUUAGUCUUCAUCACAAAAGCCACGCUCUUCUUCCCUUCCUCCUAAACAUGAUCCCAGGAACUGUCUUGCUACAGCUGUAACUUGUAUGAAAUUUACUACUUCAUUAAAGCACCCAGCCUGUAUUUGGAAAUUAUUAACCAAGAAGCAAAAAAAGAAAAUAACAACAAAAACCCACAACAAAAUAGUAUUUCAGAAAUAACACUUCAUAUAAUGGAGGAAUAAAAUCUGGAUUUAAAUAUUCUCUGGGAUUCCUGAAGCCAAAUGACACCUGACAAAUCUGGACACCAGAAGAGUUGAUAUUAGGUCUCCAAAGCUUUCACAGGUAGCUACAGCUUGGCCACUCUAUUCUCUUGGGCAAUAGGACUGUGUCUUACAUUCUGAGACUUAACAUUUGGAAGGAAAUGGUGACCUCAAUUUCAAUCUAUAGCAGUUUUCUCCAAAAUGUGGGAAAGAAAAAAUUGAUGAUGGACCAAUAGUUGGAGAGAAAAGUAUUGUGAAGGGUGCAGCUGAUGGUGUUCUACGAAGAGAAAGCUACUUCCCUGGAGAGAAAGGGGGAAUUAUAGAUACGGAGCACAGUUGAUUGGGGUCCCCACCCCUGAGCUUUGAAAUCCAUCCUUGAGUUUGCACAGAGGCCACACUACCUGUGACCAUCUCCUCACCAGAUGACUGAAUGUUCCUGAGAGACAGAGGACUCCAUUCUCAGCUGACUGGCUCAAGGACUCCCCAAUGGCUUUCUGCAUGGCACCCCAGGACACUUUGUUCCAGUGCUCUUCAUUGGCUCUCCUAGCCUUUCCUAUUCUUAUUUUCUUUCACAUGGGCAUUUCAUCUAAUAAAAGUCCAUGUACAUUCA